ensembl:rRNA 5S_rRNA 5S ribosomal RNA
GCUUACAGCCAUACCAGCCUGAAUAUGCCUGAUCUCGGAAGCUAAGCAGCGUUGGGUCUGGUUAGUACUUGGAUGGGAUCCACCUGGGAAUACCAGGUGCUGUAAGCU